CCUGUUCCUCAGUGAAGCCCAACUUCAGUCCCUACGAAUUACUCAACAAAACUUCCCUCCCAGACCCAGGAUUCUACUGGGUUUGGUUGAUUUUUGCUUCAUCUCAGUGUUUCUACAAAUACCAACAUCUUAGUGUCUCUGGCAUUUCAGCAAAAUGACAUCUUGCUUCAUUAAACCUUUAAAUGACCUUAACUGUGUAGUCGCUUUGGCCAGCUUUUCCUAAGAGAAACACAAAAGAUCUGGCUGCAAAGGAGACUUUCGAAAAGGCUUCUCUCGUCCUCAGUGUGGAGAGCAGCGCGACAAAGAGGUACCACACCUGUUCCUCCCUCCGCCCGCUGCUGAUCCACAAAGCUUUUUCCACAGCAGACAUUCUGACACGUGCGGGCAGAGAGAAAGCCCGGGUUUAAUCGACCCCAUUAGUGACAGCUGUAGUCCACCUAGACGAGCCACGGGCCAGGGUCUGGUGUGGUACACGCCGGCCCGCACACCUGGAGACGUAUCCCGGGAGACUUAAUGCGACAGAGCCCUUGUUAAUCUUAGCAGUUCCACCUGCUGUAACUCAAAAGUAUCCGCUGUGGAGGAAAACAGGACUACGUAAGAAUGCAGUGCCUUUGAGAACCAACUCAGGCAGACGCUGUGUGGAAACCUUAAGCAGCGAUGCAUUCUAAACGUACGAAGAGGGAUGGAGAGCCAGACUGAAGCAGGGACAUCAGUUCUGGAGAUAAAAAUUUCACAGGCCUCUGGUCCCGGACGUGCUCCAGUGUCGCGGCGAUGUCGAUCUCUUUCACACCUGUAGCAGAGCAGAUAGCGACAUUGACAGGAAGUCCUCGGAAAAACGAUUCGGCUUGACUCUACUCUUUCACGCCAACUGGGAAAACUUUUUCCGUCGUGUGGUACUAUCGAGGUCCAGGACAGCUACAGCUGCUAAAUGGCUCUGUGAAGAGUCUACCUGCGGAAGUCCAGCAGGGGGCGUGUGGAGGUGGGGAUGCCCUGAGCCGGCCAGCUGAGGAAGUGGAACUGAGUGAGCGUCCUGGUCUCCUGCGUCUGCACGUUCUUCAGGUAGAAACUUCUCACCAGGAAGUCGUUACACCAGAUGUGCUCCGACACCAAGUUCACCUGGGAGACGGACGGAGGGACGGACGGAUGGGCAAAAAGAGAUCUGCCGUAAAGGGGCACUUUAUUUUACCAUGAUAACCAAAGAGCCGUCAUCAUCACGAUCACAGUGCAGCCGUUCUCCCAGACCAUCUACGCAACAUCAUCAUCAAACAGAAAAUGAGUCCAGCGACUUACCUGUGAAAUACACAGGUAUGAGAUGGUCGCUCCACGGUACGAGACAGUAACCGUUUC